rnacentral:misc_RNA from 1 species
CGGAAGGAUCAUUGUCAAAUCCUUGUACCAACUGAAUGACCCGCGAACACGUUCCGAAAACAAUGAGCCCUUGGUCGAUCGGUCGGUGACUUCAUUAUUUGUUUGUUGCCGGACGCGUCGAGCAUUGGAAAACGAAAUCCGGCGCGGGAAGCGCCAAGGACUAGCCAAAAUAGAGGACGGCCUUAUUAAAGGGUCUCCCAAAGAAAAUCAAUGUUAUACGACGACUCUCGGCAACGGAUAUCUAGGCUCUCGCAUCGAUGAAGAACGUAGCAAACUGCGAUAGUUGGUGUGAAUUGCAGAAUCCCGUGAACCAUGGAGUCUUUGAACGCAAGUUGCGCCCGAAGCCACUAGGCCGAGGGCACGCCUGCCUGGGCGUCACGCAUUGCGUCGUCCCCCCCUCACCCAUGUCCCGAAAGGGCCGCGGGCCAUAGCGUGGGGGCGGAAGUUGGCUUCCCGUGCAGUGUUUUGCGGCUAGCCUGAGACACGGUUCCCUCGGCGCGGGCGUCGCGACAAGUGGUGGUCGUCGAGAUUGUACGCGAGUUGCCGGCAAGCUGCGUCGAGGAGAGCAUUGGACCCUGCGCGUGCGAGAUGAGUCCUUCACCGAGGGGCAAUUCCAACGAUUGCGACCCCAGGUCAGGC